CGCGGGAGCGGCGCUGGAGAGAAUCGCUGCGGAGCACAGGCGGGAGCAUCACCGGGGCCCGGGGCCGAGCCGCCGGGACGGGCACAGCCGCGCUGCCCUCGGAGGGCACCCCGGGCCGGGCCGGGGUCCCUUUCGGCGGGCGCACCGUGAGGGGCCGCCCCGCGCCCCCCCGGCGCCGCAGCUGCGCCCGUCCGUCAGCGCCGCCCCCCGGGCGGGGCCGCCCCGCGCUGCCCCUUUAAGGCAGCGCAGCCCCGCGCGCAUUCCAGCGGCCGCGUCACCGUUCCGGGAAGCGGGUGGCGUCACCCCGCCAUCCGCGCUGCCUCCCGCCCUCCGCGCCGCCGUGCGUCCCGCGGCGGGGCGGGCCCGGGAACAAAGGCGGGAUAAAAAUAGAAGGUAGAAAAGAAGAGUAAAGAUGUGAGCAAGACAUUUAGGAUAUGUGCAGUCUGCCAUGGGGUGUUUUGGGGUCACGGACUAGCUGAGAAGGCAGCGGAGUUUGUCUCCAGUUGCGUUUAGAAGUGCACGGAGAUGCUGCAGCCGCUGGAUGUCUCUCUUGCUCCGCUUUCCCGGACAAGGACCAGCCUUGCAGAGGGACGGGACAGAUGGGUCAGUGUGGGAGGCCAGCUGCUCGCUGCUGCCCAGCUGACUGCCAUGAUGUGACACGACUCUCAACACAAGAGAUGACAGGGUAAGAACUUGCUAUUCACAGAGCUCCUCCUUUGGCUCCUGUGGUGUAAAGCUACCUGUACCUCCAGCUACAUGGAAAAAAUUGCAAAAUAAUUAAAAUACAAGAACCCUGGAUUUAUUUGAAGUAACACCAACAGAGAUCUGGAAUGAUUCCAUUAAAAGCACUGCAGUCAUGCUGUUUCUAAAAGGAUAUCUAAAGGUAUUCCAGUGAUUAUUAUUAUGUGACUACCAGCAGUGUGCACAAUGAAAAAUACAAGUAGCCAGCAGAUUCCCAGCUGUGAAGAAAACACAUCCAGCAAGAUGAUUUUUUCAGCUAGUACCAGGAAAAACCCUGAUUUAUUUCUGUUUUUCUUAAAUCAAACAGCCUAGUGCAGGGUUUUUUAAAUGGUAACAUAAACCAGAUACAUUUCAAAGACUUAGACUAGCUUAUAUUCAUGUUCUCACAGUACCAUGAGGAAUUUACACACACUGCCUCUGACAAGCCUUGCAAUAAAAUGAGUUACAGUAUUGUAAAAUAAUGGUUUGUAACUAUUUUCCUUUGUAUUAAAGCUUCCCAUAAAUACAUAUUACUUGGAUCAACAUGGGGUAAACCUCACUCACUCCAGCUGAAAGAUGGAGAUCUUGGGGUCCCACCACCCAAACGUCCAGCCAACAUUACCUUUCUCAAGAGGCUGGAAGUUACAGCAGGGAUAAAAGUCAUAAGGAAUUCAAGGAAAACAGCAGCUUAUUUAACAGCUAGGGAGCCAUUAAGGAUGGCAAAGCUGUAGUGAAGCUGAGAUCUGUACCCUCAUUUCUGUGUCCCAGGUCACCUCUUCACCAGCUAAAUCCUUCUUUCACUUCCAGCCUUCUUUCUUAAACUGAGCAUCAUUUAAAGACAAAAUGGGAAAAAUUGAUAAGUUAUGGACUGAACAGGAGCAGUGUGAUUUUCCAUGAAUCCAGGCACCUGCAAGGUAUCAAAGCCAAAGGCAUCAUGUUUUUGAAAAAUGAGACUGAGGUUGUCAAGCAAGGCACCAGCAGUAUGAGCUGUUUAAUCCAUGCUGAUUUCCCCAGAACUGUGUCCAAGAGGAUGUCACACUUUUCUGUUCUCAAGUUCAGCCUUAUCUCUGAGAGCAUCAGCAAGUUUCACCUCUUCUGAAAGAGCACUCUCCUGUGAUUUAUUUAUAGUCUCCUGCUGCUUCUUGUAAGUAGAGUUUCACUCCCCUUCCUUUGCUCUGCCUCACAUCACUAUAUUGCACUGGUACGCUGCUGCUUCACAUAUGAACCUUUCAGCAGCCUGUUUUCUUCCAGCUGCUAAGCUAAGGGAGACCACUCAGAGGAAUGGGAAGGAAUUUAGGGACAACAAUAAUAUUUAAUGUGUAGAAUCACAGAGUUUCAGCACACACCAAACAUCCCUGCUAAGCUCGUGUUCCUAAAAUCCUUUAAAGUUCACUAAAAUUGAUAGAUUGGUCUUACACACAUUAAUACUGAGUUUUUCAGCUAUCCCUACAAGCUCAUUUCUGCCUAUCAUUUUUGUUGUGUCAGGGUGUUAUUUGUGACCCAGUCAGUUUAAGAAAUACACGGAAUACAACAUGUUUUAAAAGACUGUAAGACUGCUGCCACCUUUGUCUACAUUGCUGGGUCUGUCUGUUGUGUACCUCAGGUGCACAUGUAUGUUUGUCUUUGUGUAACGUGAAAAUACUUCAGAAAUGCCUUGAAAGUCCUACUGCCCUAUUCUUAAAAAGUCUUGCAUCUAUUUUAAAAUACAGAACAUGGUGAAACAAUAAAUAAGAGAAAAUCCUUGAAAUGCCUGAGACAUUUCCAAGAUGUUACCUAAGAAUAUAAUCUCAAUUUAAACAUGUAAUUCCCUUGAUUACCACUUUUGUACUUAGGUGUGCUGCACAGUUCAGAAUGAACACUUUGCUUUUUUGUGGAACAAUAUUUAUUCUUAUUAGUAAAGUUUUUAGGAGUUUUGCUCAAACUUAAAAAUUAAUAAAUUGAUAAAUGUAAUUAAUAAUUUUGAGUUUACCUGGAAUUUUAUCUGCAGUGUAAAAUAAAGGCUAUGGAUCCACAGCCCCCAGUGAGGCAAAUAACCUUCCUGGGAUACUCUUGAUCUGGCAUGGCUAUUUUGAACUAGUUAUCAGUUUAAUCUAUAAAGUUACCCUCUAGGCAGUGAAUUGCUUGGUAACUAGUUCUGUGUAUCCAACACAAAUGAUUUUAGAAUCCCUGCACAGCAGCACAGAACAAGGCAGCACGAGGAAGUUUUCAGACACCAUCUAAUUCUGCCUGCCCAAACUGGCUGAAACAAGUGUUACCUUUAAGGAUUUUUUUUUUUUUCCAUUCGAAGCUCUUGUUGUCUACAAAAGAAGGGUGAAAGCUCUAAGUUUCAGCUCUGCCUUCAGAUAUUCCUAAUAGCUUAGGCCUGGCUUGAUUCAGUUCAUGUGUUUGACACUUUGUACACCACUAUCUGAGUUGUUGUAAUCUUUAAAGCCCCAGGAGAAGUGGAUUAAUUUUUUUACAAUGCAAGGGUUUAGAUUCAAGUCUUUUUCAAGGCUUUAUCUGCUGCCUUUGCACAGUAUGGGAAAACUUUCAGCAAAAUCUGGAAGGUAAAAUAUAGACCCUGGGAUAGUGAUUUCUUUUCCAUUUUCAGAAAGGUUUCUUUAAGUAGAGGGAAAAUUAGGUCAUAUUUUGAUUUCUCUUGGCUGGCUUGUCUCCAAGAUGGCCUGCACCCAGUUUCUUCUGAACUUUUCACUUCUCAGAAGGAUAGUAUCUCAUGUCAGAAUGAUAAAGACUCUUGUCAAGAAGUACUGUGGAACAUGGUAAGCUGAACAUUCAUCAACAGUACAAAAUUUUGAUGGCAACAGCUACAAAUAACUUACAGGAAAUAUUCAAAGAAAUUGUUUAUUCAAGAGUACUUCCUGUGGCUCUGCAGUUCAUCCAGGUGCACAAGCUCUAUUUUUCACAGAACAUUCAUCUCUGUUUCUUUUAGUUUGGAUUUCUCAUCAACAGAUUACCCAAGCCAAGAUUUAAGUGUAAGUUUUGUAAACAAGUAAAUCAGGACUCAUACUUUUUACUGAACAGAAAGAAAAAUGCUAAACCAGAAGGUGUUACGUAAAGCCCAAGAGAUGGAUAAGGGUGCAAGUUUACAUUGUUUUCAUUGGCCAUAUUUGACAGAAGCAAAAAUAGGAAGCACUGCUAUCAGACUUGUUCUGCCAGAUCUACCAGUAUAAAUUGUCCCAGUAGAACACUAAGAUAAAUUCUCAUUUCCUACCUAUUUUCUUUUCUGCGUUAGGGUUAUUUCGGACAUGCCAAGGUCAAAAUCAUGCCUGUUAGAGUACUUCUAGCAGUGAUGCCCACCUAUCAUACACCCAGGUCUUUGACACCCUGUCUGACUACAGAGGGGGAAAAAAUCACCUUUUGAUAUAGCACUGAGUUUUCUACCAAAGCAGACAACUAUACUGUACAUUAUAAUUGUCUGAACUGGCACUCACAUACAGGGCUCUGAGUGAAGUGCUACAAAUCUAAAAGUGAUUUUAGAUUAGUGAUUUUUUUAUUUGUUUAGUGAUUUUUUGUUUGUUUCAAAGCAUUCACAGACAAGUACUAGUUUGUUUGAAAACUGCCAUUCUGUAUACCAUGUAAAUAGCUUUCAGGUUAUAGAUUCAUGUGCACUUAUAUGAAUAUUACUUAUGGGACACAGAUUUGUCAUAUAAAUUGCACGGUUUGUAUAUUUUUUCCUGUAUGGAGAGGAAAACAUUAGGAAUAAAUGGAUGAUGGGUAACAGAGUGUGUGAUUAUCAUUGCUUACAUCAGGUCUGGGAUUUCAAGUUACCCAGUGUUCAUCUGAAAAUAUGCAAACACUAAUCAGAGCUGCUCAGCACAUCUUCCUGAUGUGCAGCUGAAUCCUUCUGAAUGGCAGCUUUUUCACUCACUGUAGUAGGCUUUUUUUCACUGUAGAUUUUUUUUUUCACUUUUUUUUUUUUCCUUUCAGUUCAACCAGAUUUGCUGAAAAAUUAGCAUUGGGCUUCCUAAGUGGAUCUUUCCACAUCUCUUCCAUUUUCUCUUGAGCAAAUGCAAAUUACAUUGAGCCCAUUUCAGAUAAAUGUAUUCAUCUAUAAGGGACAGAAUACAUAUGUGAAAGUCAUCUAAACCAUUUUGUCUUGUUCUACAGGUUCUUGGGAUUCUUACAAGGGAAGACUACAGCAAUUUAAUACCUUUCCAAACUAUAAUUUGUUGAAUGUAUUGCCUGAUAGUAGUUUUCAAACAACAGUAAAAGGAGGUGAUUUACAAACUGUUUUGAGGCUUCUUCCAUUCCAAAGCACCAUCCUUAAACAGAUAAGCAUCCUCUUUUAAUUUUUACUGAAACGUGGAAGUCUGGCAGGUCUGACAAGUGCAAUCUGAACUGUGAUCCCACUGUGACUCCUACACUGAUGUCAUGAAUUCACAGCCAGUGGUACCAGCAGACCACAAGGUCAGUAGUCUAAGCUGCAGUUUUCAAAGGAUCACAAGACCUUUUCUGCAGAAGAAAACUAAUACAAAACCUGAUUUAAGUCAAUGAAAGACUCAUAGUUUGGCAAAGGGCUAAAAAAAAACACCCAAAACUGGUGUCCAUAUAUAUUAUGGAUAAGAAAAGGACUUUAUCCUAAGGUCUUAUCCUAAAUUUUUGGAAAAAUCUCAGCUGCUCUGUCUGCAGAAUUCAGAGCCCCUCUUUCCAGCAGGCAGUCUUGGUUGGAUUAGGAUGCAAUAACUAUUAACAUGUUCUUAGGAGGAUUUCUCUUCACUGCACUCUCUACAACUACAAAAAAUAAGGAGGAUACUUUGAUUUGCAUUUCAUAAACCCUUUACUGAGUUUUUGUGGCUUACACUUGCAGUCCUAACGCUUCAGUUGUUAGAAGUCCUUCUUGAAGCAGGGAUGAUAGAAUUUAUCCUGUCACAAAUGUGUGAGGGUCAAAGUGAGGGACUAUUGAAAAGAGUGACACGCCUGGGAAACACCAACUCAGAUUAUGCAUCAUCUAGGUAAGUGAGCCCAUCCAAUAAUUCUUGACAUUCUGAAGAAUAAACUAUAAUUAAAUACUAAAGAAAGGCAAUCCUUGGUGCAGCAAUUCAGUAAAACCUUAGACUUCAAUUAGCAAGAUGGAUGUUGGAAGCACACAGCAAAAAUAAUGACAUUUGCAAUGCUAUCUGGAAGCAGCAAGCAAAUUGAAAAGAAAUUCUAGACUCUCCAAAGGAGGUGUGGAGUAGGAGGGCUACAACAGGGCUCUGCACAACUUGCUUGUUGUGAGUGCAAUUUAUAGAUCAUGAGGGCACCUGUUUUACUGGAAUAAUACAGAGGUCAGGGAAAUGCAGCUGCCUGAACAAAGCAGCCAUAGCUGACUGUUUGCUUUUAAGCAAAAUCAAUUUCAGGCCAUUGGCAAGUAAAACAACCUUAGACAUAAAAUAGUGUUGUCGAAUUAACACUAAAAGAAAUGCUGUGGUGCUCUGAAUGCAUUUUUUAAAAGCAGUCAGUGAAAACGUGUUAAGGAUGUGUCCACUUAAAGCCUAUUGUUGUAACACUUCUAUUGAGUGUGAAAUAGCCUAAGAAGUGACUAAAUGUGAAACCUUCCAUUUCCAAGUGGAAAUAAACCCAAAAAGUUCUAAUAAAUAAAUAAAUAAGUUUUAAUAAUAAGUAAAUAAAACCAAUAAAACCUAAAAUGUACUCAGUUGUGAUAACCUUGUCUUUAAUAACAGAAAGGAAGGACUAAAGCAUCUCCCUCACAGACAAGGGUGAGAGCAGGUUGAAUUUGUGAGGAUCUUACAAUACAAGAGGGGGUUUUAUAUCACCAUUUCCUGUUGCAACAGGAGCACUUCCUCAUUGAAAAGAACCUGAAAUUUAGUACCAGCAGAACCUGAGUUACCUGCUUUGACAGCAGCAAAGGUGAUUUCAUAGAGAGAACAGGAAAAGUAGGGAGAGAACAGGAACACUGAGCCACUCAGUGGUGAUUAGUGAAACUGAGCUACAAGGGUUUUUUUUGAAAUGCAGCUGGAUAUCAUGAUGCCAGAUGAAGCAAGGACUUCCACAGUAAUCACAGCAGCACAACUACUGAAGCUGCCCCAUCAGGAAGCAUGCAAGGUAAGGAGGAGAAGUGCAAAAAAUCUAGCAGGCACUGAAAAAUUAUUUGUGAAAUGUUGGCAAACAACCAGCCACCAUAACCACCAACCCAUGUGCAUUCCCACAAAGGCAACAGGUACCAUCAAGGAGCAAAUUCCCAGCUGCUGUUGGUCUCUAAUCAAAAGGGCAGCAGUAAUAAUAAUAAUAAAUAGUGACACAAAAUAAUAAUGAAUAAUCUGAAGCAAUAGUAAUUUCUUAGAUGCUGAUUUAUUUUUUCUACUCAGAGCACCAUCCAACAGUGGGAGGGCCCAUGGAGUCCCUCCUGCAAAUGAAGUGGUCUAAUGGUGAGAAACAAAACAAAACAAAUCUACAAAUAAAAUCUGUAACAUUGUGAAUGAAUGGGCAAAUACAUAGAAACAGCUUUUCUAGUUAUUCAACUGACAGGCAGCUGUCCCUUGCAAACUAGAAGAUGGAGAAUCAUCUAAUAAAAACUUCCCUUCAUAGAAAGUUACCAAAAUGCUUAAGAAAUAGAAGAACAAUACAGAAUCAUAUUUUUGUUAUAUCUGUAUUAUUAAUACAGAUUUGGGAGCAGCUGUUUAGUUUUCCCCAUAUCAAUCAAAAUGGUGACAGUGACAGAUAAAUCCACAUAUGGGACAAUUUACAUUCUACUUAAGUGAGUGAAAGUCAGGGGUUAGCAGCAAUUUAUACAGGUCAGGCUUUUACAGUCCUCCGUGGUUGCUGGAAGGCUGCCAGGGAAAUGCCAUCAAGGGGGUUUGCUUUCACACUGCAGGAUCUGCAGUUUUGUAUCAGGUUAAGAGGAAGAGGAGCAUGGCACUGCACACUUCAUUAAAACAGCAGUGAUGAAGCCAGGAUAAAAACAAAGGAAAACUAACAGACAUAAAAAAUGCGAGCUGAAAUUGUUAAUAUAAAAAUACUAACAACGUUCACAGAACACUAAGCUGCUAUAAUAAACCUGUGCUGUAAGAGUAAGUGGCAAACAGUGGGCUAUAAUUUCCUCUUUUUGUCAGAGAAAGAUAGAAGGAAAUCAUCAUAAUCUAAUAUAGAUGACAUCUUUGAUAA